AAAAAUGGGGGGUGGGGGGAGUUGGGAAGAAAAGACAAGGUUUGUGAGUAUGCAGACCUAAAGAAAACCAACAGGGUGUAGUGGUUUGAAUGGUGGACUUGGAUUCCAGGAGCCCUAGAAACCAAGAUGACUAAAGAUGUUGUACUUUGGAUCUACUAUGAAAUUACACACCCAACUCGCUAGAAAAGGCAAUGAUGCUUGGUAAGGUAGAAGGCUGUAGGAAAAGAAGAAGACCUUAUUCCUGAUGGACAGAUUCAAUCAAGGAGUCUGCCUAAUGCAUUUGCUGCUUCUGGAUGAAGUUGGACCAGAAAGCCAGUUGCUAACAAUAUACACGUCUCAAGUCAAGUCGAGGCAAUGCAUCAUUUAUUGCCAAGUCAAAUCCAAGUAGAGCCAUUGAAGCGACCUGAGUCUGAGUCAAUCGACUCAAGUCUUCAUCACUGAUAGGAUGCCAGACCCAAGCCAGCAUCUGCUUAGAAGUGAUAUGGCUACAGAUGCAUGGAGCUGAUCCUUGUGGCUUUCUCACCUGCUUGUCGCCAUCUUGUAGCCCACAAUCCCCAUCAGGCUAAGGAAGAGGACACCCCCAACAGCACCUCCUGACACCAUGAGAAUAAGAGUCAUGUCCACUGUGGGAGGGAAAGAGACAAUUAAACCUUGCAGCUAUGGCCUAUAGAGAUAACUAUAUGAAGUCAGAAGAUUGCUUUUGACAACUAGCAUGCUGGCAGAAAUUCAGCUGGUGAAGCUUUUUCCACUCUUCAACUGUUAAUUAUAGCCAAUGCGGUGUAGAGGUUAGAGUGUUGGACUUGGACUCUGGGAGACCAGGGUUUGAAUCCCCGCUCAUCUAUGGAAACAUACCCCAUGACUUGGCUCCUCACUAGAUAAAGGCUCCAACAUCUGUCUCUGCUGAAGAAACCUUUCUUUUUCCACAACCCACAAGUGAUGAUUGAGAGAUGAGAACAGUCAAGAAGAGAAUGAACCCAAUGUCUGCCCUGUAUAACCCCAACGCCUGUAUGGAUGGUCCUAGAUGGGGUUGCCAACUGAUAGGAAUAGAACAAAUGACCGGCUGCUGUGCCUAACACCCACUUGAUAUGCGGGAAGCUUCUCACAGUAUAAAACUAAAAAUGUCCACUCCUGUUAAAGGCAGAAGAACAAGAGCUGACACAAAAAUUGCCACCCUGUGCUGAUAGUGAAUUAAAUGCCAUUGGGAUUUUUCAGAUGUCUUGUGCCUGCCAGGGAGAAAUUCUGCAGGAGCGAUCUUUCCGAGGGACAGAAAUGCAGUGGCAGCAAAAGUUUCACUGGCUAGCAUUCGGUCAGACUCUACUAAAAGAUACAAUAGGCCUGGAUGAAUAAAGAGGUGGCUCUGCAGUGUCAACAAAGCAAGCAUGAAAGUGAACCAAUUGAAUAGUCCUCUUACACUCCACAUUGAGGAGUACCAUGUUCAGAUACUCACAUUUAACCUGCAGGUAGAUCCCAUUGCGAGACUGUUGCUGGUUUGGGAAGGUGGCUGUGCACUGAAGAUAUUUGCCAUGGUCCUUGUGGGAAGGGGUGUAGCUAAAUCCCG